CCCUUUUUAGCUUCCGGAAGCAAAAUGCAGAGGAUGCAUCAACAGAAAUUGAGCUGCAUUCUUGCUUCUGUAAAGAGAGGGAGCCCUUCAUUGCCUGUUCUGUAUCAGCAGACAAGGCAGGCCCUUUUGUUUGUGGAAGGCACAGUGAGAGCGAGGCUGGGGAGAACCUUCCAAAACACUCGCCCACCAUAGAUCUGCAUUACCCGCUCCACUGGCUAAAUAGAUCAAUCCAUUUCUGCUCCCUCCAAACAAUUAUACAACUUAAGAGAGACAGGCAGAUUGUGAGAAGCUGUAAUAAAACCAUCUUUUCUCUUACUCGCUCUCCUCCCCUUUUAAUAAGUGAACUAUGCUCAUCUCAUAACAUCACUGUUAUUGUAGAGUGAAUAUGUUGUCAGUUAUCAAAACAGAAAUACAUACAUAACACACCCCUCACCAGGAAUCCCAUGCAUUUUAAUGGCUUUCUUUGUAAUUUCUCACUGCAACAUAAGCUCUUAAUCAUAUACAGUAGUUGUUUUAACUGUGGAUUCCACUAUUGAAUGCAUAAUUGUUGACAUGAGCAAGUACAAUGCACUGAAUUCAAGUGGAUCCGUCUUUUUUACACCACCAUCCUUCACACUUUACAGUGUGUUUCGCCUCCAGCUUGUCUGACAUGAUUUACUUGCUGUUCAGAGAGCCACAUGUCCCUUAUUAAAAGGAGCAGAGGGCACUUUUUCAAGCAAAAUACCACACUGUGACAGGAUGUAGCCCAUCUGUAAGACAGUCUGAGAGCAAAAGUGACCUGCCAGCAGAUGCAUCACCAUCUAAUUUGUCAAAUCGGAAGACCGCACACAGCAGUUGAUCAAAAUGAACUCCAAACGGCCACUCCACAUGCAGUUCAACUUCACCCCAGGAAUGAUCUGUUCCACCUCUGUGCUUGACAACACUCCUAUUUCUCCCCAGCCCUGUAUAAGAUCAUCAUCAUGACAUGCAAAAAAAAAAUAAACAGUCUAUUGGUUGAAAUAAAGAUGAACAUUGAAGUAUGAGACUAAGCUAACCGGUGCAAUCCAGACUGCCUAAAGUGCCCAGAUUGUCAUUAUGAUAUAUUUAUACAGGUUUGGG
ensembl:lncRNA